rnacentral:rRNA from 1 species
AGAGUUUGAUCAUGGCUCAGAUUGAACGCUGGCGGCAUGCCUUACACAUGCAAGUCGAACGGUAACGGGCCUUCGGGUGCCGACGAGUGGCGAACGGGUGAGUAAUGCAUCGGAACGUACCUUUCAGUGGGGAUAACGUAGCGAAAGUUACGCUAAUACCGCAUAUUCUGUGAGCAGGAAAGCAGGGGAUCGCAAGACCUUGUGCUGAUUGAGCGGCCGAUGUCAGAUUAGCUAGUUGGUGAGGUAAAGGCUCACCAAGGCGACGAUCUGUAGCGGGGUCUGAGAGGAUGAUCCGCCACACUGGAACUGAGACACGGUCCAGACUCCUACGGGAGGCAGCAGUGGGGAAUUUUGGACAAUGGGGCAACCCUGAUCCAGCCAUGCCGCGUGAGUGAAGAAGGCCUUCGGGUUGUAAAGCUCUUUCGGCCGGGAAGAAAUCGCAUGGGUUAAUACCCUGUGCGGAUGACGGUACCGGCAUAAGAAGCACCGGCUAACUACGUG